rnacentral:rRNA from 1 species
UACGUAGGGUGCAAGCGUUGUCCGGAAUUAUUGGGCGUAAAGCGUGCGCAGGCGGUUGUGCAAGACAGAUGUGAAAUCCCCGGGCUCAACCUGGGAACUGCAUUUGUGACUGCACGGCUAGAGUGUGUCAGAGGGGGGUAGAAUUCCACGUGUAGCAGUGAAAUGCGUAGAUAUGUGGAGGAAUACCGAUGGCGAAGGCAGCCCCCUGGGAUAACACUGACGCUCAUGCACGAAAGCGUGGGGAGCAAACAGG